UAUAAAGUGGCGAACGGCUGAGUAACACGUGGGCAACCUGCCCUUUGCACUGGGAUAGCCUCGGGAAACCGAGGUUAAUACCGGAUACUCCAUAUUUGUCGCAUGGCGAAUAUGGGAAAGCUCCGGCGGCAAAGGAUGGGCCCGCGGCCUGUUAGCUAGUUGGUGGGGUAGUGGCCUACCAAGGCAAUGAUGGGUAGCCGGGUUGAGAGACCGACCGGCCAGAUUGGGACUGAGACACGGCCCAGACUCCUACGGGAGGCAGCAGUU
rnacentral:rRNA from 1 species